UACGUAGGUGGCAAGCGUUAUCCGGAAUUAUUGGGCGUAAAGCGCGCGCAGGCGGUCCUUUAAGUCUGAUGUGAAAGCCCACGGCUCAACCGUGGAGGGUCAUUGGAAACUGGGGGACUUGAGUGCAGAAGAGGAAAGCGGAAUUCCACGUGUAGCGGUGAAAUGCGUAGAGGUGUGGAGGAACACCAGUGGCGAAGGCGGCUUUCUGGUCUGUAACUGACGCUGAGGCGCGAAAGCGUGGGGAGCAAACAGG
rnacentral:rRNA from 1 species